rnacentral:tRNA from 13 species
GGAGACGUACCCAAGAGGUUGAAGGGUCCGCACUCGAAAUGCGGUAGGUCGGGCAACCGGCGCGAGGGUUCAAAUCCCUCCGUCUCCG